CCUACGGGAGGCUGCAGUGAGGAAUAUUGGUCAAUGGACGAGAGUCUGAACCAGCCAAGUAGCGUGAAGGAUGACUGCCCUAUGGGUUGUAAACUUCUUUUAUAUGGGAAUAAAAUGUUCCACGUGUGGGAUUUUGUAUGUACCAUAUGAAUAAGGAUCGGCUAACUCCGUGCCAGCAGCCGCGGUAAUACGGAGGAUCCGAGCGUUAUCCGGAUUUAUUGGGUUUAAAGGGAGCGUAGGUGGAUUGUUAAGUCAGUUGUGAAAGUUUGCGGCUCAACCGUAAAAUUGCAGUUGAAACUGGCAGUCUUGAGUACAGUAGAGGUGGGUGGAAUUCGUGGUGUAGCGGUGAAAUGCUUAGAUAUCACGAAGAACUCCGAUUGCGAAGGCAGUUCACUGGACUGCAACUGACACUGAGGCUCGAAAGUGUGGGUAUCAAACAGGAUUAGAUACCCUUGUAGUC
rnacentral:rRNA from 1 species